rnacentral:rRNA from 1 species
UACGGAGGGUGCAAGCGUUAUCCGGAUUCACUGGGUUUAAAGGGUGCGUAGGCGGGCAGGUAAGUCAGUGGUGAAAUCUCCGAGCUUAACUCGGAACUGCCGUUGAUACUAUCUGUCUUGAAUAUUGUGGAGGUAAGCGGAAUAUGUCAUGUAGCGGUGAAAUGCUUAGAUAUGACAUAGAACACCUAUUGCGAAGGCAGCUUACUACGCAAUCAUUGACGCUGAGGCACGAAAGCGUGAGGAUCAAACAGG